rnacentral:rRNA from 1 species
AAUGAACGUUGGCGGCGUGGAUUAGGCAUGCAAGUCGAGCGAGAACCCAGCAAUGGGGGACAGCGGCGCAAGGGACAGUAAUGUGUAGAUCAUCUGCCCUCAGGCCCGGGAUAGCUGCGGGAAACUGCAGGUAAUACCGGAUAACAUCUCCGGAUCAAAGGUGUGAUUCCGCCUGAGGAUGAGCCUACAUCCUAUUAGCUAGUUGGCAGGGUAACGGCCUACCAAGGCGAUGAUGGGUAGCGGGUGUGAGAGCACGACCCGCGUCAUUGGGACUGAGACACUGCCCAGACACCUACGGGUGGCUGCAGUCGAGAAUCUUCGGCAAUGGGCGCAAGCCUGACCGAGCGACGCCGCGUGCGGGAUGAAGGCCUUCGGGUUGUAAACCGCUGUCAGAGGGGAUGAAAUACAGGUGGGUUCUCCCAUCUGUUUGACAUAGCCUCAGAGGAAGGACGGGCUAAGUUCGUGCCAGCAGCCGCCGUAACAC